UUCCGUUUCCUUCCCGCCGCAGCCUAGCCGCAGCCAGCCGCCGGUCCCUUCCUUCCAUUUUCUUCUUCCGUCUGCAGCCCCGCCGCGAAGCAAGACCGUGCCGCUGCCAGUCCAGAUCUACGUUGCAGUCGUCCUGCGCGCCGAUCUGCCGUCUCCAUCUCCGUUCGCGAAGCAAAACCGUCGCCGCUUGCCGAACCCAACCGCCACCCUCUCUUUUCUCCUUCGGAUCGAAACCGCCGUCCAUCUGCAUCGCAACCGCCGCUCUUAACCGUCGGCCGGUUCGUGAAGCCAGCCGCGCAACCUUCGUUCCAACCGCUGCACUGCCGCGCGAUUCUCCAGCCACGUCUUCUUUAGCCGACCGCUGACCGACCUACACUUAGGAUUUUGCUGCGAGUCGACAGUCGUGCGUUGAGGUGUUGGGAGUAACCUUGGGCUCCCUUAAAUUCACAACAAAUUUGUGAAUUGUUGAUGGUUCAGUUCGCCAGUAUUUCGGUAAGUUGUGGAAUUUACAUAUUGAGUAAUUUGAAAGGUUGAAACUAUUUAGAACGAUGUUGAUUUUAUGAUUGAUUAUGUUUAAGAUUUGAUUCAUUGGAUUUAGUAGAUUGAAGAAUUUGCAUAGAAAUCGAGGUAAGGGAUUUUCUACUGGACUCACCUAAAGUUUUUGAGUUGUGUUGGACUGUAUGGAUGAUGAUUAAGAUGUACAUGUUUGAUUGCAGACUAAAUGUUUAGUGUAUGUUGUAUUUGACUGGAAACAUAUAUAUAUACAUUGAUGUGUGAAUUGACGUGGAUUGCCGAAAGUAUACAUGUGAAUGACUGAAAUUAUGCAUAUGUGUACAUGAUGAUAUUAAUAGAUUGUGCUGUAUAAAGAUUUGGAUGUGAACUAGUGAAUUUGUUUCGGUUGGAUGUGGAUUAUACUGAACUGUGGUUUGUGCUGGUGAACUGAGGGGUGUAUUGACUGUAUAGUUUGAUUGACUGACGUAUUAGUAUAUUAUUGACAGACAUAUGACUAAAGUGAGAUAAGUUGACUGUUAGGACGUCGAGAGAAAGAACUUUAUGUUUUGAAGUAACUGAAAGAUGGAUUGAAUGGAAUGAGGGGAUAAAUUGUUAGGUUGUAUUGGGAUGUUUACCUUGUAGGUGUCCCACGGGAUCACCAAUUUAUUUUGCACCUUCGGGAGCAUUUGACUGAUAUGUGUUUCUGCAGAACACUAGACUGAUAUGAACGUCCCUCGGGGCGUUAGACUGAUAUGUACGUCCCUCGGGGCGUUAGACUGAUAUGUAUGUCCCUCGGGGCGUUAGACUGAUAUGUACGUCCCUCGGGGCGUUAGACUGAUAUGUACGUCCCUCGGGGCGUUAGACUGAGAUGUGUAUCCUACGGGAUCACAAGACUGUGACUGUACAGGGUGUCCCAAUAGAACUUUAACAAUUUAUUUUCCCCUGACGAGACCAGUAGAGGGUCUGUUACUGAGUAUUGUUAUACUCACCCUUCUUAUGUUUAAUUUUCAGGCAAAGGAAAUAAAGGUGGCAAACCGGCGAGGGGCAGGAAGGAAGCGUGAUGCCAUAGGAAACGUGUUUUUGCUUCCGCUUAUGAGUUCUUGUGAGGUUUAAAAUGAAUUGAAAUUUAGUUUACAAACGUUUGUUGUAAAUAGUAUUAUUUUAUGUUUUCUUGAAUAUUUGAAAAUCAGGCCUGACAUAAAUUGUUUUUAAAUUGACUUAUGUUUCAUUUUGUAUCAACCAAAGUCUUUUGUCAAAAAUUAACGACCUCGACUUACCUAGAAAAGUUGGGUCGUUACA
rnacentral:lncRNA from 1 species